rnacentral:rRNA from 1 species
UACGGAGGGUGCGAGCGUUGUCCGGAAUCAUUGGGCGUAAAGGGCGCGUAGGUGGCCCGGUCAGUUCGUGGUGAAAGCGCGGGGCUCAACCCUGCGUCGGCCAUGAAUACUGCCGCGGCUGGAGCACUGUAGAGGCAGGCGGAAUUCCGGGUGCAGCGGUGAAAUGCGUAGAUAUCUGGAGGAAUACCGGUGGCGAAGGCGGCAUCCUGGACCGACAUUGACGCUGAGGAGCGAAAGCUAGGGGAGCAAACGGG